rnacentral:rRNA from 1 species
AGAGUUUGAUCAUGGCUCAGAUUGAACGCUGGCGGCAGGCCUAACACAUGCAAGUCGAACGGUAACAGGAAGAAGCUUGCUUCUUUGCUGACGAGUGGCGGACGGGUGAGUAAUGUCUGGGAAACUGCCUGAUGGAGGGGGAUAACUACUGGAAACGGUAGCUAAUACCGCAUAAUGUCGCAAGACCAAAGUGGGGGACCUUCGGGCCUCAUGCCAUCAGAUGUGCCCAGAUGGGAUUAGCUAGUAGGUGGGGUAACGGCUCACCUAGGCGACGAUCCCUAGCUGGUCUGAGAGGAUGACCAGCCACACUGGAACUGAGACACGGUCCAGACUCCUACGGGAGGCAGCAGUGGGGAAUAUUGCACAAUGGGCGCAAGCCUGAUGCAGCCAUGCCGCGUGUAUGAAGAAGGCCUUCGGGUUGUAAAGUACUUUCAGCGGGGAGGAAGGGAGUAAAGUUAAUACCUUUGCUCAUUGACGUUACCCGCAGAAGAAGCACCGGCUAACUCCGUGCCAGCAGCCGCGGUAAUACGGAGGGUGCAAGCGUUAAUCGGAAUUACUGGGCGUAAAGCGCACGCAGGCGGUUUGUUAAGUCAGAUGUGAAAUCCCCGGGCUCAACCUGGGAACUGCAUCUGAUACUGGCAAGCUUGAGUCUCGUAGAGGGGGGUAGAAUUCCAGGUGUAGCGGUGAAAUGCGUAGAGAUCUGGAGGAAUACCGGUGGCGAAGGCGGCCCCCUGGACGAAGACUGACGCUCAGGUGCGAAAGCGUGGGGAGCAAACAGGAUUAGAUACCCUGGUAGUCCACGCCGUAAACGAUGUCGACUUGGAGGUUGUGCCCUUGAGGCGUGGCUUCCGGAGCUAACGCGUUAAGUCGACCGCCUGGGGAGUACGGCCGCAAGGUUAAAACUCAAAUGAAUUGACGGGGGCCCGCACAAGCGGUGGAGCAUGUGGUUUAAUUCGAUGCAACGCGAAGAACCUUACCUGGUCUUGACAUCCACGGAAGUUUUCAGAGAUGAGAAUGUGCCUUCGGGAACCGUGAGACAGGUGCUGCAUGGCUGUCGUCAGCUCGUGUUGUGAAAUGUUGGGUUAAGUCCCGCAACGAGCGCAACCCUUAUCCUUUGUUGCCAGCGGUCCGGCCGGGAACUCAAAGGAGACUGCCAGUGAUAAACUGGAGGAAGGUGGGGAUGACGUCAAGUCAUCAUGGCCCUUACGACCAGGGCUACACACGUGCUACAAUGGCGCAUACAAAGAGAAGCGACCUCGCGAGAGCAAGCGGACCUCAUAAAGUGCGUCGUAGUCCGGAUUGGAGUCUGCAACUCGACUCCAUGAAGUCGGAAUCGCUAGUAAUCGUGGAUCAGAAUGCCACGGUGAAUACGUUCCCGGGCCUUGUACACACCGCCCGUCACACCAUGGGAGUGGGUUGCAAAAGAAGUAGGUAGCUUAACCUUCGGGAGGGCGCUUACCACUUUGUGAUUCAUGACUGGGGUGAAGUCGUAACAAGGUAACCGUAGGGGAACCUGCGGUUG